GACGAACGCUGGCGGCGUGCUUAACACAUGCAAGUCGAACGGAAAGGCCCUGCUUUUGUGGGGUGCUCGAGUGGCGAACGGGUGAGUAACACGUGAGUAACCUGCCCUUGACUUUGGGAUAACUUCAGGAAACUGGGGCUAAUACCGGAUAGGAGCUCCUGCUGCAUGGGGGGGGUUGGAAAGUUUCGGCGGUUGGGGAUGGACUCGCGGCUUAUCAGCUUGUUGGUGGGGUAGUGGCUUACCAAGGCUUUGACGGGUAGCCGGCCUGAGAGGGUGACCGGCCACAUUGGGACUGAGAGACGGCCCAGACGCCUACGGGAGGCAGCAGUGGGGAAUAUUGCACAAUGGGCGGAAGCCUGAUGCAGCAACGCCGCGUGCGGGAUGACGGCCUUCGGGUUGUAAACCGCUUUCGCCUGUGACGAAGCGUGAGUGACGGUAAUGGGUAAAGAAGCACCGGCUAACUACGUG
rnacentral:rRNA from 1 species